ACCAAGUGUUCUUGAAAUUGCGGCAAUACUCCAGGGGUACAGAAGGAGAGUGGAAACAGAAUUAAAAAGGAAAUAAAUUAUGAAGAUUUGUCAUACUUUUCCAACCCAUUUCCUGAAGUUUCUAUGUAUGAAAACAUCAUCUUCACCUUUUGGCCGGUGCCAUGUCAUCCAGACUGAGGAAGAUCCAGCAACUCCAGGGUCUUUGACCUCUCCAAAUGAACUAUCAAGUCAAGAUUUGUUUAUGUCUACAAUAUAACUGCCCCAUGUGGGCUGGGUUCUCAUGGAAGCUAUAGACAGAGAUUAGAAUCUGAC